UACGUAGGUGGCGAGCGUUGUCCGGAAUUAUUGGGCGUAAAGGGAGCGCAGGCGGGAAGGUAAGUCUAUCUUAAAAGUGCGGGGCUCAACCCCGUGAGGGGAUGGAAACUAUCUUUCUUGAGUGCAGGAGAGGAAAGUGGAAUUCCUAGUGUAGCGGUGAAAUGCGUAGAUAUUAGGAGGAACACCAGUGGCGAAGGCGGCUUUCUGGACUGUAACUGACGCUGAGGCUCGAAAGCGUGGGGAGCGAACAGG
rnacentral:rRNA from 1 species